rnacentral:tRNA from 1 species
AGUGGCCUAGUUGUAUGACGCACGCCUGGUAAUCGAGGAGACGCGGGUUCGG